CGGUAUUACAAAGUUACUGCAGAUGCAUUAAGAGUUUGUGGUGAGCUUGUACGGGUGUUGCGGCCAAAGAUUGAGGGUUCAACCUUUGAUUUCAAACCCUAUGUUCUUCCAAUAUAUAAUGCCAUCAUGGUGCGUUUGACAAACCAAGAUCAGGAUCAGGAGGUUAAGGAGUCUGCAAUUACUUGCAUGGGGCUCGUAGUUUCAACAUUUGGUGAUCACCUGCAUGCUGAAUUACCUGCAUGUCUUCCAGUUCUGGUGGAUCGAAUGGGCAAUGAAAUAACUAGAUUGACAGCUGUCAAGGCUUUUGCUGUCAUAGCUGCUUCUCCAUUGCACCUAGACCUCUCAUGUGUCAUCGAGCAAGUGAUUUCUGAGUUAACUGCAUUCUUACGCAAGGCCAAUCGAGCUCUCAGACAAGCUACUCUAGGGACCUUGAACACCCUCAUUGUUGCUUAUGGUGAUAAAAUUGGAUCUGCUGCGUAUGAAGUUAUUGUUAUGGAACUUUCUACGCUAAUUAGUGACUCAGACUUGCACAUGACAGCCCUUGCGCUGGAGCUUUGUUGUACAUUAAUGGCUGACAGAAGGUCAAGUGCUAAUGUGGGUUUGACUGUAAGAAGCAAAGUUCUUCCUCAAGCCUUGACACUAGUGAGAAGUUCACUGCUUCAGGGGCAAGCCCUUCUGGCCCUUCAAAACUUUUUUGCUGCAUUGGUUUACUCUGCCAAUACAAGCUUCGAUACUCUGCUAGAUUCUCUACUUUCAACAGCGAAACCAUCUCCUCAGUCUGGUGGUGUUACCAAACAAGCUCUCUUUUCCAUCGGUCAAUGUGUGGCAGUUCUUUGUCUUGCCGCUGGUGAUCGGAAGUGUUCUUCUACUGUAAACAUGUUAACAGACAGCCUGAAAGAUGAUAGUAGUACUAAUUCGGCCAAGCAACAUCUUGCCUUGCUAUGUUUAGGGGAAAUUGGAAGGAGAAAGGACUUAAGUCCACAUGCCCAUAUCGAAAAUAUUGUCAUCGAGUCCUUCCAAUCACCUUUUGAAGAGAUAAAGUCAGCUGCCUCUUAUGCUCUAGGAAACAUUGCUGUGGGUAAUCUACCAAAGUAUUUACCCUUUAUCUUAGACAAAAUAGACAAUCAGCAGAAGAAGCAGUACCUACUGCUCCAUUCUUUGAAAGAGGUCAUAGUGAGACAGUCUGUGGAUAAUGCUGAAUUCCAGGAUUCAAGUGUAGAUAAAAUACUUAAUUUGCUCUUUAAUCAUUGUGAAAGUGAUGAAGAGGGCGUUAGGAAUGUUGUAGCUGAGUGCCUGGGAAAAAUUGCACUUAUUGAACCUGGCAAGCUUGUUCCUGCAUUGAAGGAUCGGAUUAGUAAUCCAGCAGCGUUCACCAGAGCGACUGUUGUAAUUGCUGUGAAAUAUUCCAUAGUUGAGCGACCCGAGAAGAUAGAUGAAAUCUUGUCUCGUGAAAUUUCAUCCUUCUUAGUGCUUAUAAAGGAUAAAG
rnacentral:misc_RNA from 1 species